GCCUUCAUGAAGCCGGAAUUGCUGUAAUGGCAGGCCAGCAUACUGCCGUGAAUACGUUCCCGGGCCUUGUACACACCGCCCGUCACACCAUGAGAGUUGGGAAUACCCGAAGCCUGUGAGCUAACAUUAAGAGGCAGCAGUCGAGGGUAGAAUCAAUGAUUGGGGUGAAGUCGUAACAAGGUACC
rnacentral:rRNA from 1 species